UACGUAGGUGACCAGCGUUGUCCGGAUUUACUGGGCGUAAAGCGCGCGCAGGCGGUCGUUCAAGUCGAGUGUGAAAGCCCCCGGCUCAACUGGGGAGGGUCACUCGAUACUGAUCGACUUGAAGGCAGGAGAGGGAAGCGGAAUUCCCGGUGUAGUGGUGAAAUGCGUAGAUAUCGGGAGGAACACCAGUGGCGAAGGCGGGUCUCUGGGCAACAACUGACGCUGAGGAGCGAAAGCGUGGGGAGCGAACAGG
rnacentral:rRNA from 1 species